rnacentral:tRNA from 1 species
CCCUGGUGACUCAAGCAGUAAAGAAUCUGCCUGCAAUGCAGGAGACCCAGGUUCAAUCCCUGGAUCAGGAA